rnacentral:rRNA from 1 species
AUUGAACGCUGGCGGAAUGCUUUACACAUGCAAGUCGAGCGGCAGCACGGGGGCAACCCUGGUGGCGAGCGGCGAACGGGUGAGUAAUACAUCGGAACAUGCCCAGUCGUGGGGGAUAACACUUCGAAAGAAGUGCUAAUACCGCAUACGUCCUGAGGGAGAAAGCGGGGGAUCGCAAGACCUCGCGCGAUUGGAGUGGCCGAUGUCAGAUUAGCUAGUUGGUGGGGUAAAGGCCUACCAAGGCAACGAUCUGUAGCUGGUCUGAGAGGAUGAUCAGCCACACUGGGACUGAGACACGGCCCAGACUCCUACGGGAGGCAGCAGUGGGGAAUUUUGGACAAAGGGGGCAACCCUGAUCCAGCCAUUCCGCGUGAGUGAAGAAGGCCUUCGGGUUGCAAAGCUCUUUCGGCAGGAACGAAACGGCGAGCUCUAACAUAGCUUGCUAAUGACGGUACCUGAAGAAGAAGCACCGGCUAACUACGUG